GGUUUGAUCAUGGCUCAGAUUGAACGCUGGCGGAUGUUUUGCAUGGCGCAAGUCGAACGGCAGCACGGACUUCGGUCUGGUGGCGAGUGGCGAACGGGUGAGUAAUGUAUCGGAACGUGCCUAGUAGCGGGGAGAAUUACGCGAAAGCGUAGCUAAUACUGCACACGCCCUUCGGGGGAAAGCGGGGGACCUUCGCCUCGCACUAGAGCGGCCGAUAUCGGAUUAGCUAGUUGGUGGGGCAACGGCUCACCAAGGCGACGAUCCGUAGCUGGUUUGAGAGGACGACCAGCCAUACUGGGACUGAGACACGGCCCAGACUCGGCGGAGGCAGCAGUGGGGAAUUUUGGACAAUGGGGGAAACCCCAUCCAGCCAUCCUGGGCGUGUGCGAUGGCUGCCUCGGGUUGUAAAGCACUUUUGCAGGAAGAAACGGCACGGGAUAAUACCCCGUGCAACUGACGGUACUUCUGCAGAACAAGCACCGGCUAACUACGUGCCACAGCAGCCGCGGUAAUACGUAGGGUGCAAGCGCGUUAAUCGGAAUUACUGGCGUAAAAGUGCGCAGGCGGUUCGAAAGAAAGAUGUGAAAAUCCCAGAGCUUAACUUUGGAACUGCAUUUUUAACUACCGAGCUAGGGAGUGUGUCAGAGGGAGGUGGAAUUCUGCAGUGAAAUGCGUAGAUAUGCGGAGGGAACACCGAAUACGGCGAAGGCAGCCUCCCGGAGGAACACUGACGGGCUCAUGCACGAAAGCGUGGGGAGCAAACAGAUUAGAUACCCUGGUAGUCCACGCCUCAAACGAUGUCAACUAGCUGUUGGGGCCUUCUGGCCCGGUAGUGUAGCUAACGCGUGAAGUUGACCGCCUGAGUACGGUCGCAAGAUUAAAACUCAGCGAAUUGACGGGGACCCGCACAAGCGGUGGAUGAUGUGAUUAAAUUCGAUGCAACGCAAAACCUUACCUACCCUUGACAUGUCUGGAAUCCCGAAGAGAUUUGGGAGUGCUCGCAAGAGAACCGGAACACAGGUGCUGCAUGGCUGUCGUCAGCUCGUGUCGUGAGAUGUUGGGUUAAGUCCCGCAACGCGCAACCCUUUGUCAUUAGUUGCCGCCGAAAGGGCACUCUAAUGAGACUGCCGGUGACAAACCGGAGUGGGAAGGUGGGGAUGACGUCAAGUCCUCAUGGCCCUGGCGGGUAGGGCUUCACACGUCAUACAAUGGUCGGGACAGAGGGUCGCCAACCCGCGAGGAGCCAACCAGAAACCGAUCGUAGUCCGGAUCGCAGUCUGCAACUCGAUCAUGCAAGCCGGAAUCGCUAGUAAUCGCGGAUCAGCAUGUCGCGGUGAAUAUGCCGUUCCGGGUCUUGUACACACCGCCUGUCAGCACCAUGGAGUGGGUUUUACCAGAAGUAGUUAGCCUAACCGUAAGGAGGACGAUUACCGAUGGGGAGAUUCAUGACUGGGGUAAGCGUAAUACAG
rnacentral:rRNA from 1 species